CAGCCGCCGCGGGAAUACGUAGGUGGCAAGCGUUGUCCGGAAUUAUUGGGCGUAAAGGGCACGCAGGCGGUUUCUUAAGUCUGAUGUGAAAGCCCCCGGCUCAACCGGGGAGGGUCAUUGGAAACUGGGAAACUUGAGUGCAGAAGAGGAGAGUGGAAUUCCACGUGUAGCGGUGAAAUGCGUAGAGAUGUGGAGGAACACCAGUGGCGAAGGCGACUCUUUGGUCUGUAACUGACGCUGAGGAGCGAAAGCGUGGGGAGCGAACAGGAUUAGAUACCCCAGUAGUCCCUGUCUCUUAUAC
rnacentral:rRNA from 1 species